GCUGGGCGUAGUGGUGUGUGCCUGUAAUCCCUGCUACUUGGGAGGCUGAGGCAGGAGAAUUGAUUGAACCCAGGAGGUGGAGGAUGCAGUGAGCCGAGAUUGUGCCACUGCACCCUAGCCUGGGUGACAAAGUGAGACUCCGUCUCUA
rnacentral:SRP_RNA from 1 species